GGGGGAAUAUUCGAGGAUAAGAAAAUACACUUUUGAGUUACACUUCAAAACAAGCAAGACUUUUGUAAAGGCACUUUACACUGAAAAUGAAUAUGUACGGUAAAAUGAUUGAGCAUGCUUCCUUAUUGUCGAAAUUGAGAAGUAACUCUAUGCUAGGUUUCUUGACUUGCAGUAAAGCAGUUGGUUGUUGAACGGUAAAUUUCUUGUGUGUAUAAGGAGGAAAACAAAGCAAAGUAAUA
rnacentral:lncRNA from 1 species